rnacentral:lncRNA from 1 species
GCUCAUUCAUCGAUAAUCCUUUAAUGCUGUUAAAAUGAGUGGGUAGAAGAGGGCCCUUUAAUUAUCGAUUAUAAGAAGAUUUGACCUUUAUGAUCCUCUUCUAUUAUCUUGUGAUAGUAUAUCUUUGGUGAAGUUGGUGGUGCAAGACUUUGAAAUGCAUGAAAAGAAAGAAGGGGCAGUUACCUAUCUGUAACUGUCCCCUAGACCUAUUGUAUUUAUAAUAAAAAUACAUUAGAAGCCCAUAAUUCCUUUGUAUCAGAAGGGAUGUUUGUUUGCAAAGGGUUUUAAAAGGGUAGGUGACUCAAGUCUCUAAGUUUACCAAAACCUAUAAUAA